rnacentral:rRNA from 1 species
AACAAACGCUGACGGCGUGCCUAAUACAUGCAAGUCGAACGGGGAAAGCUUUCGGGUGAGUACUAGUGGCGCACGGGUGAGUAACGCGCGGAUAAUCUGCCCUAGAGUGGGGGAUAACUAGUCGAAAGAUUAGCUAAUACCGCAUAAGACCACAAGAACUGCGGUUCAAGGGGUCAAAGGGUUUUCGCUCUAAGAUGAGUCCGCGUAAGAUUAGCUAGUUGGUAGGGUAACGGCCUACCAAGGCGACGAGCUUUAACUGGUCUGAGAGGAUGAUCAGUCACACUGGAACUGAGACACGGUCCAGACUCCUACGGGAGGCAGCAGUAGGGAAUAUUGCACAAUGGAGGAAACUCUGAUGCAGCGACGCCGCGUGAGUGAUGAAGGCCUUCGGGUCGUAAAGCUCUGUCGCAGGGGAAUAACACAAUGAAGGUACCCUGUAAGAAAGGAUCGGCUAACUUCGUGCCAGCCGCCGCGGUAAGAC